rnacentral:rRNA from 1 species
GGGAGGCAGCAGUGGGGAAUAUUGCACAAUGGGCGCAAGCCUGAUGCAGCCAUGCCGCGUGUGUGAAGAAGGCCUUCGGGUUGUAAAGCACUUUCAGCGGGGAGGAAGGCGUUAAGGUUAAUAACCUUGGCGAUUGACGUUACCCGCAGAAGAAGCACCGGCUAACUCCGUGCCAGCAGCCGCGGUAAUACGGAGGGUGCAAGCGUUAAUCGGAAUUACUGGGCGUAAAGCGCACGCAGGC